rnacentral:lncRNA from 1 species
CAUGAGCUGACCAUGAAGUAAUAUUCUGAAGAAGAGACCAGAAGAAAGAAGAUAAUUUCUCUCAAAUCAACGGGUCAAGAAGAAGAAGAUUCAGAAAAUUAGAAAAUAGUGAAGAUGAUGAGGAUUUAGCAUUGAUCACAAAAAAAUUCAGACGGUUUAUGAAGAAAAGAAGACAAGGGAUCAAGAGAAGACCAUUAGUUGAGGGAGCUGAGUAAAAAUAAAAGAAUAGCCCAUCAUUUGUUAUGAAUGUAAGAAGCUAGACCACUUUAGAUCGGAUUACCACUU